rnacentral:rRNA from 1 species
UACGUAGGUGGCAAGCGUUGUCCGGAUUUACUGGGCGUAAAGAGCGCGCAGGCGGUCGUGCAAGUCGCGUGUGAAAGCCCCCGGCUCAACUGGGGAGGGUCACGCGAUACUGAUCGACUCGAAGGCAGGAGAGGGAAGUGGAAUUCCCGGUGUAGUGGUGAAAUGCGUAGAUAUCGGGAGGAACACCAGUGGCGAAAGCGGCGCUCUGGGCCUAAACUGACGCUGAGGGGCGAAAGCGUGGGGAGCGAACGGG